GGCGGCCGAAGGCGCGGGAGGCGGCUGAGGAGGCGGGGGAAGGUUGGUGUUCUGGCUGUGUUUAGCUAAGGAAUAUCUUCUUGUCGUUCUUCAGAAUCCAUAUGACUAGACCUUCUGCAGUAUUAAUCUUGCAUUCACGAAACUAUACUUUGAAAAAGGCUCAAGUUUUCAUUGUGGUCCUUACUGAAUUUACUAAUGUACUGAGCUUGUCUUUAUUAAAACUGUUUCUAGCACAG